CCCUGGGCCGGGCUGCCCCAGCCCUUCUGCCUGGCCUGGGUGGGGGCCGCUGGUGUGAGCCCCAGCCUGGAGGGACUUUUCUCCUGGAAGCCUGCUCUUCUGCUCAUCAGCCCACACAGCCCACACCGCCCUGGGUGCAGAUGGCUCCCGGGUGUCUGAGGGCAGGUGACACACGGGGGAACCUGGGCCACGAGCUGACUUCGUCAAGAUCCACCAGCGAGGACACAGAGGCACGGCAGCAGGGGCAAAGACCCAAAGGUUCUUUAUUGAUUCGCUAUCCAAUCUCCCAGAAGGUGGCUCGGCUGCACGAUGCAGGCCGUGCUCAGCAUUUCACGUGGAGCUGAGCUCAUCAGCCAGAGCCAUGAGGUCGGUCACCAGGGUGUCCAGCAGCCCACAAACCUGGAAGAAGGGGACGGACACCGCGGGCAAAGGGUUGCUCGGGGGAGAGCACCUCCGCGGGGGAGGGGUAACCAAAGCUCUGAGAGUUCCAGCGGAAGUUCUGUUUUUGCAAAGCUUUGCUUAGUCAAACCUGCACGGCUCCCUUUGACAACCAGAGCCUGCAGAUGUUAAAGGAGCAACUCCACAGGACCCCAGGGAGCAGUGCCCCAGUUCCUUCCCGUAGGAUCACAGAUCCACAGACUCUCCAAGACCACGCAGGAUCCUCCACAUCCGAGAGCCGAGGGACAGUCUACCCCCAUGGGCCCUGGGUCCUCUCACUGUCUAGACCCCACUGAGCACCAGAAAAUCAGUGACGUCACCGGCAGCAGACGGAAGUUCCGGUUGAAUGAGAUCCCUUGUGUUACCAGAAUGGCGAUGACGUAAGCCCAGCUCCCCAGCUAUCCGCAUCAGAGGAAGACAAAGCAAGGUCAUCACACCAUUGACUAUCCAGCGUGGCUCUGCGGAUUUCCCCCCCUGCUGGAUCUCUAAGGACCCGAGGGAAGCCUCUCCAGUGCUUCUGAGCCCUUAGAAUGGCUGGAAACGCACCCUUGCUAAGGUCUGGAACGCAGGAGCCGCUGCCCGAGGCAAUGGUGUGGGGAGGUGGGGGACCCCUGAGAGGGGUUUGGCUCCUGAGGGCUCCACCCUUGCUGCCCUGGGCAUGUGAGUUCUUACUCUCAGGACUGGACUAGUUACCCAGAGAGCCAGCUGCUAGGAAGCCAGGCUGCCCCUCAGCUCUGCCGACUCUGCACACGCUCUGCUGGCCUUUCUCUUUCCACCGUGACCUGAAGGAGCACAAGGCUGCCCCAGUGCCAUGCUCUUGAACUUGCCACCCUCCACAACCGUUAACCCAAACACACUUCUUUCCUUAUAGAUUGCCCCAGAAACGGGGCAACUGACAUGAACUGACACGCAUUCUCCCAAGCAGGGUGCACCUGACAGACAGGAGGUGGGAGCAGCAGAGAGGGGCCUCCUUCCCCUUUGCCUGCAGUCUGCUUCCAGAUGGCAGCUGCAGCGAGCUGCUAGAGCCCACGCCAGACCCUCUCACUCCUCUGUUCAAGGCCCUGCAGGCUUCUCGCUUCACCCAGAAAAAAAGCCCCGAAUCCCCACAAUGGCCCGUCCUGGACGCACAGGGCCGGCUGGCCUUCCACACUCGCCAGCCCUCCCCACUCCGGAUGGGUUGCUCCCCCUGCUAGGGCACCCUUCUGGGGACGGCCACCUGGCCACCUCCCUUCAAUUCUGUUGGAGGUCAGCUUCCCCACGAGGCCCACCUGGCCCUGGUCCAUCCUCUCUUCCCCACAGUACUCUGCACCUAACACCCCAGGUGUAUCUGCAAGGUCUCUGAUUCCCACAGCCAUGCGCCCAUCACUGACGGGAGGCCACGGUGGCAGGCGUGAGCGGGGGGAGGGGGGCAUGGCUCUGGGCUCUCCCCUCACCUCCGUGUGGAGCCUCUGGGUGUAUUUCUCCAUGACCAGGGGGUCUAUGGGCUCUUGAGAGGGGGUGGCGCUGUCAUGGGAAGUCUCUUCCGAGGAAAGCCUGUCCCGGCUGGAGGAUUUCACCAUUUUCUUGUCGUCCUUUGCCUUCUGCUUCUUGCUGUUGACACGGUCCUGCGUGGACACCGGGGGCAGGCCCAGCCUUCAGUGAUGCCCCCCCAACAGCAGCUCAGCGGGGAGCCGGGCCCGCCUGCCCCCAGCCCCUCCCGGCCCGCAGGCCCCAGCAUGCCUCCUUCCCCGGCAUCUUGGCUCCUUUCUUGUCCUCCUUCUCUCUGAGCCCCGUCUGCUUCUUUUCCUGGGCCGCCCCCCUCCGCUCCUCCUUCCCGGCUCUCACCACGGCUGCCUUCACCUCCGUGACGGGGGUUGACUUUUGAUCUGAGGGAGGCGAGGGGAGGAUACCAUGGCAGCCCUCGGGGGGCGGGCUAACAGCAUGGGCACAUGAGGAGGUUUAGGGUGAUGGCCUUGAGCCCCGUCAGCGCCCCCCACCCCGACGGCGUUCAGGGAGCCCUGCAGCUGCUCUGUCCCCUAAGCCUCUCGUUCAGGUGCACGACCUUGUGGAACAGGACCGCGGGAUGGGAGGGGGGUGCAGGGAGAGACCUGGGUUCCGGUCCCAGCUCUGCACUCCCCCACACAGGGCCAUGGACAAGUCAGUUAACUCCUCUGGGCCUCCACCUGCAACACCAGGGCCCUGAGCUAAGGUGAUCGCUGAGGGGGCUGCGGGGCUGCAAUCCUGAUGGGAGGGGAGCAGGGCCGGCUCCUCGGGCUCAGCCUAGCAGAGCCUCCGCCCCAGGCAGCCCGUGGCUGGGGCUGCCCCGCCACGGGGCAGGGGCCGGGAAGACGACACGCGAGUGGCCACGCGGCGCCUGACCUUGCUCCUCCAGCACAUCCAAAUAGACGGUCUCCUUCUCAGGCAGGCCCAGCAGAGCCCUCAGCCACAGGGAGUGGCUCACCAGGCUGUCAAUCACAACUCGCCACAGCUGCAGACUAGAGGGCAGAACACAUGGGGGAGAGACCAGCACUCCCUGUUUACCCUUGAACCUGAAGACGCUCUAGUCCCCAGCCCUGCAAAGACUCUGGUGCUGGGAACUGCUAUGGAAACGCCUGGCCUGAGAGUGGCCGGCGCCCCCAUAAGUACCCAUGCAGGGGCUCAGAUGCAGCCUGGCUUCUUCCAGGUGGUGGCCAAGAGAAAAGGGCCUAGGACCAGGGGGAGGAGAUCUGCAUACAUUCAGCCACCCCCCCAAGUCCCUCGGAGCAAGUUCCAGAUAGGCAAGGUGCAGGCUCACAACCAGCAGAGCAGCGGGUGCUCUGAAUGGACCCUGCCCUGCCCCUCUUCUCACUGCCCUCUGCUUUCUCCCUUUUACAUUCCUCUGCUCCAAGAGGAAGGAAAAAAAAAAGAAGACGACAACGAUGACGACGACGACAAGGUCUAUUCUUGAGAGCGGCGGGCAGGGACUGUUAAGGGCAGGCUCCAGGCGUGGGUCUGCAGAUCUUUCCACAGCCCCGGAGCCCUGAGACAGCCUCCCCCGGAACCCGGCCAGGCGCUACGGAGGGAAGCAGGGGGCACCUACCACAUCUGGUGCAGGAAGUUGGACUGCACCGGCCUCUGCUCCUGGCACAGCUCCAGGGCUGCCUUGUUGAGCCUAACCAGGGCGUCCUCUCUCUGGUUCUCCUCAGGGAGCGCCACUGCUGCCUGGCAGGGUCACAGGCAUCAUGAGCAUCCUGUGGCCUCUAGUGACAGGCAUGGUGACAGGGAACAGGUGGUUGGAGCCAGGAGAGGAUGCAGCCUUGGGGAGUCUGUCGGGGGGCUGCCCCUCCCCACAC